GUGACCUAUCUCAGGAGAGAAAAGCCACUGAGUUUAAGCAUAUAAUUAAGUAGAGGAAAAGAAUCUUACAAGGAUUCCCCUAGUAACGACGAGCAAACUGGGAAGAGCCUGACAUGAAAAUUGGGUGGCAACGCCACAUAAAUUGUAGUAUGUAGAAGCAUCCUUUAUGGAAGACUAGGCCCAAGUGCCCUGGAAGGGGGCUCCUGAGAGGGUGACAGUCUCGUUGGGUUGGUACCUUGCCGCACCAUGAAGCGUUGUUGACGAGUCGGGUUGUUUCGAAAUGCAUCCCUAAUCGGGUGGUAAAUUUUGUCCAAGGAUAAAUAUGGGCUAGAGACCGAUAGCGAACAAGUACCGUGAGGGAAAGAUGAAAAUGGAUUUGAAAAGAGAGUUAAAGAGUGAUUGAAAUUGUCAGGAGGGAAGUGUAUGGAGGCCAACGAUGUGUCUCGGUCAGAUGC
rnacentral:ncRNA from 1 species